GAGGGUAUAGCUCAGUGGUAGAGCACACGCCUAGCAGGCUUGAGGUCCUGGGUUCAAUCCCCAGGACCCCG
rnacentral:tRNA from 1 species